rnacentral:rRNA from 1 species
AUUGAACGCUGGCGGCAGGCUUAACACAUGCAAGUCGAGCGGGGGAAGGUAGCUUGCUACUGGACCUAGCGGCGGACGGGUGAGUAAUGCUUAGGAAUCUGCCUAUUAGUGGGGGACAACAUCUCGAAAGGGAUGCUAAUACCGCAUACGUCCUACGGGAGAAAGCAGGGGAUCUUCGGACCUUGCGCUAAUAGAUGAGCCUAAGUCGGAUUAGCUAGUUGGUGGGGUAAAGGCCUACCAAGGCGACGAUCUGUAGCGGGUCUGAGAGGAUGAUCCGCCACACUGGGACUGAGACACGGCCCAGACUCCUACGGGAGGCAGCAGUGGGGAAUAUUGGACAAUGGGGGGAACCCUGAUCCAGCCAUGCCGCGUGUGUGAAGAAGGCCUUAUGGUUGUAAAGCACUUU